UAAGGAAUAUUGGACAAUGGACGCAAGUCUGAUCCAGCCAUGCCGCGUGAAGGAUGAAUGCCCUCUGGGUUGUAAACUUCUUUUACAGGGGAAGAAAGUUAUCUUUUUCAGGAUAUUUGACGGUACCCUAUGAAUAAGCACCGGCUAACUCCGUGCCAGCAGCCGCGGUAAUACGGAGGGUGCAAGCGUUAUCCGGAUUCACUGGGUUUAAAGGGUGCGUAGGCGGGUAUGUAAGUCAGUGGUGAAAUACCGGAGCUUAACUUCGGAACUGCCAUUGAUACUAUAUAUUUUGAAUAUUGUGGAGGUAAGCGGAAUAUGUCAUGUAGCGGUGAAAUGCUUAGAGAUGACAUAGAACACCGAUUGCGAAGGCAGCUUGCUACGCAAAUAUUGACGCUGAGGCACGAAAGCGUGGGGAUCAAACAGGAUUAGAUACCCUGGUAGUCCGCGCCCUAAACGAUGAUUACUCGACAUUAGCGAUACACAGUUAGUGUCUGAGCGAAAGCAUUAAGUAAUCCACCUGGGAAGUACGACCGCAAGGUUG
rnacentral:rRNA from 1 species